rnacentral:misc_RNA from 1 species
AGUCGUAACAAGGUAUCCGUAGGUGAACCUGCGGAUGGAUCAUUAACAAAGAAUUUCUUAUUCUUACGUACUGUGAACUGUUUAUUAAACCGUCAGAGGAAUUAUGUCAAUUCCCGGUGGUGGUAAUAAUAUUAUUACCAUCGUCAUGAUUUGACCCUCUGGUCGGACACAUUAGAGUAAAAAAUGUCUAAACUUAAUUUUGUAAAUAGUGUAAAAACUUUACAACUUUUAGCAACGGAUCUCUAGGCUCUC